GACAGAGGGUGCAAACGUUGUUCGGAUUUACUGGGCGUAAAGCGCCUGUAGGCGGCUUCGCAAGUUGGAUGUGAAAGCCCACGGCUCAACCGUGGAAGCGCAUCCAAAACUGCGUCGCUGGAGUCCCGGAGAGGAAGGUGGAAUGCUUGGUGUAGAGGUGAAAUUCGUAGAUAUCAAGCAGAACACCUGCGGCGAAGGCGGCCUUCUGGACGGUGACUGACGCUGAGACGCGAAAGCGUGGGGAGCAAACAGG
rnacentral:rRNA from 1 species